rnacentral:rRNA from 1 species
CCUACGGGAGGCAGCAGUGAGGAAUAUUGGUCAAUGGACGAGAGUCUGAACCAGCCAAGUCGCGUGAAGGAUGACUGCCCUAUGGGUUGUAAACUUCUUUUAUAUGGGAAUAAAAUGUUCCACGUGUGGGAUUUUGUAUGUACCAUAUGAAUAAGGAUCGGCUAACUCCGUGCCAGCAGCCGCGGUAAUACGGAGGAUCCGAGCGUUAUCCGGAUUUAUUGGGUUUAACGGGUGCGUAGGUGGAUUGUUAAGUCAGUUGUGAAAGUUUGCGGCUCAACCGUAAAAUUGCAGUUGAAACUGGCAGUCUUGAGUACAGUAGAGGUGGGCGGAAUUCGUGGUGUAGCGGUGAAAUGCUUAGAUAUCACGAAGAACUCCGAUUGCGAAGGCAGUUCACUGGACUGCAACUGACACUGAGGCUCGAAAGUGUGGGUAUCAAACAGGAUUAGAUACCCCAGUAGUC